rnacentral:rRNA from 1 species
AUUGAACGCUGGCGGCAUGCUUUAUACAUGCAAGUCGAACGGUAACACGCCGCAAGGUGCUGACGAGCGGUGGACGGGUGAGUAAUGCAUCGGAAUGUGCCCAGUCCUGGGGGAUAACUACUCGAAAGAGUAGCUAAUACCGCAUACGAUCUAUGGAUGAAAGCGGGGGACUGUAAGGCUUCGCGCCAUUGGUGCGGUCGAUGUCAGAUUAGAUAGUUGGUGGGGUAAAGGCUCACCAAGCCAACGAUCUGUAGCUGAUCUGAGAGGACGACCAGCCACACUGGAACUGAGACACGGCCCAGACUCCUACGGGAGGCAGCAGUGGGGAAUUUUGGACAAUGGGCGCAAGCCUGAUCCAGCAAUGCCGCGUGCAGGAAGAAGGCCUUCGGGUUGUAAACUGCUUUUGUACGGAAAGAAAAAGCGCUGAUUAAAACCCGGAGGUAAUGACGGUACCGUAAGAAUAAGCACCGGCUAACUACGUG